rnacentral:rRNA from 1 species
UACAGAGGUCUCAAGCGUUGUUCGGAUUCAUUGGGCGUAAAGGGUGCGUAGGCGGCGCGGUAAGUCGGGUGUGAAAUCUCGGAGCUUAACUCCGAAACUGCAUUCGAUACUGCCGUGCUUGAGGACUGGAGAGGAGACUGGAAUUUACGGUGUAGAGGUGAAAUUCGUAGAUAUCGGGAGGAACACCAGUGGCGAAGGCGGCGAUCUGGGAAGAUACUGACGCUGAGGUGCGAAAGCGUGGGGAGCAAACAGG